UACGGAGGGUGCAAGCGUUAUCCGGAUUCACUGGGUUUAAAGGGUGCGUAGGAGGGCAGGGAAGUCAGUGGUGAAAUCCUAGGGCUUAACCCUAGAACUGCCGUUGAUACUCUCUGUCUUGAAUGCCGUGGAGGUGAGCGGAAUAUGUCAUGUAGCGGUGAAAUGCUUAGAUAUGACAUAGAACACCGAUUGCGAAGGCAGCUCGCUACACGAACAUUGACUCUGAGGCACGAAAGCGUGGGGAGCAAACAGG
rnacentral:rRNA from 1 species